CAGAGGGGGCAAGCGUUGUUCGGAAUUACUGGGCGUAAAGGGCGCGUAGGCGGCCUUCUAAGUCGAACGUGAAAUCCCCGGGCUCAACCCGGGAACUGCGUCCGAUACUGGAAGGCUUGAAUCCGGGAGAGGGAUGCGGAAUUCCAGGUGUAGCGGUGAAAUGCGUAGAUAUCUGGAGGAACACCGGUGGCGAAGGCGGCAUCCUGGACCGGCAUUGACGCUGAGGCGCGAAAGCCAGGGGAGCAAACGGGAUUAGAUACCCCGGUAGUCCUGGCCCUAAACGAUGAAUGCUUGGUGUGGCGGGUAUCGAUCCCUGCCGUGCCGAAGCUAACGCAUUAAGCAUUCCGCCUGGGGAUACGGUCGCAAGGCUG
rnacentral:rRNA from 1 species